GAUGAAGAACGCAGUGAAAUGCGAUAAUUAAUGUGAAUUGCAGAAUUCCGUGAAUCAUCGAGUCUUUGAACGCACAUUGCGCCUCAUGGCAUUCCGUGAGGCAUGCCCAUCUCAGCGUUAGAAAAUAUUCUCAAAUUUUAGUUUUGUGCUAAAUUUUGGAUCAUGUCAAGGAAGCUAUUACUAUUAUUGUGAUCGCUCUUUGGAAAUUGAUAGGUCUUUGAGUUGCUACUCAUAGAACGUGAUGAAUCUUUCUUCGUUCUAUUGUAAUUCACUCUGGUAGUCCUAAAACUUGUAUGCCUGUGGCAUAUCUUGUAAUUUGACCUGAGAUUGGGUAGGGAUACCCGCUGAACUUAAGCAUAUCAAUAAGCGGAGGA
rnacentral:misc_RNA from 1 species